GACGAACGCUGGCGGCGUGCUUAACACAUGCAAGUCGAGCGGUAAGGGCCCUUUCGGGGGUACACGAGCGGCGAACGGGUGAGUAACACGUGGGUGACCUGCCCUUAGCUCUGGGAUAAGCCUGGGAAACUGGGUCUAAUACCGGAUAUGACUCCAUAACGCAUGUUGUGGGGUGGAAAGCCUUGUGCGGCUAGGGAUGGGCCCGCGGCCUAUCAGCUUGUUGGUGGGGUGAUGGCCUACCAAGGCGACGACGGGUAGCCGGCCUGAGAGGGCGACCGGCCACACUGGGACUGAGACACGGCCCAGACUCCUACGGGAGGCAGCAGUGGGGAAUCUUGCGCAAUGGGCGAAAGCCUGACGCAGCGACGCCGCGU
rnacentral:rRNA from 1 species